AGCCGACGUGGUACACACUGCACAGUCUCGUCUCAACGGUGCAAGGAGUCUGUUUGAAACCUGCAUCCUCUUGUGAUUCGGCUGAAAAUGCUGGCAAAAGUGGAAUAUGGGGGAGUCCAAAAAUACAUUAAAGUUCCUCAAACUGAUGACAAUUUCCAUUUCCUCCAGUUUCUUCAAGAAGCAACAGACAAAUUUAGUCUGCAGGCUCAACAUCUAUCCGAGGGUGUGUUAGCCUUGACUGAUGCAUCAGAUACCGAGGUUGAUGCAGACACAUUUGAUGAGCUGAUAAAGUCAGGGUUCCGAAACUUCAAGGUUGGAUACCGCAAGUACCCAGUAACGGAGUUGGACAUUGAAUUGGUGGAAUACAACUCGCAGUCCUCCGUAUUGUCAGACUCCACAGCAUCACCAGUUUCAUUGCCAGGACCCCCCGCAUCACCAGCUUCUACAAGUUCAGGUUCGACAAUCAUCCUCCCAUCCACUAAAAACCGGAAGAGAGGCCUGGUAGAGCUGGAACGUAAUGAAGCAAGACAGAAAGUUGAUACUAUUCUGAGGUCCAACCCGAAAGGUGAAGAAAUCUUCAAAGAAUAUGACAAAACUAAGACGCUGUCAGACACGACACGCAGACAUAUGAUCAACAUUCUGGUUGCAGAAAUGACAGAUUCACAUGGGAACAUUACUAUGACCCUGAGGCGAAUACUGGCUAUCUUGCUUGGAGACUCAAGACAGUCCAACGCAACACGCACGAUGGCCUCCGUGGGCAUUCCAGGCCCAAUCCCCAGGGCAGUCCAACAACCCAACGAGAAUCUUUGUUGAUUGCUGAACAGCUCAAGGAUGAGGAGUGCAGAGAGGCCGUGUCUGUAAUAAGACACUCCACAGAUGAAUCCGUGGUCAAAGAGAA
ensembl:lncRNA